rnacentral:rRNA from 1 species
UACGUAGGGUGCGAGCGUUGUCCGGAAUUACUGGGCGUAAAGGGUUCGUAGGUGGCCCGCUAAGUCACACGUGAAAUCCCUCAGCUUAACUGGGGAACUGCGUGUGAGACUGGCGGGCUUGAGUGCAGGAGAGGAACGCGGAAUUCCAGGUGUAGCGGUGAAAUGCGUAGAUAUCUGGAGGAACACCGGUGGCGAAGGGCGGCGUUCUGGACUGUAUC